AUACGUAGGGGGCGAGCGUUGUCCGGAAUUACUGGGCGUAAAGGGUGCGUAGGUGGCACUUUAAGUUGGAUGUGAAAUCCCCGUGCUUAACAUGGGAGCUGCAUCCAAUACUGGAGAGCUAGAGUGCAGGAGAGGUAAGCGGAAUUCCUAGUGUAGCGGUGAAAUGCGUAGAUAUUAGGAGGAACACCAGUGGCGAAGGCGGCUUACUGGACUGUAACGGACACUGAGGCACGAAAGCGUGAGGAGCAAACAGGAUUAGAUACCCUGGUAGUCCCCGCUGUAAACGAUGAAUACUAGGUGUAGGGGGUAUCAACUCCCUCUGUGCCGCAGCAAACGCAAUAAGUAUUCCGCCUGGGGAGUACGGCAGCAAGGUUGAAACUCAAAGGAAUUGACGGGG
rnacentral:rRNA from 1 species